UACAAUGGAGAGUUUGAUCCUGGCUCAGGAUGAACGCUAGCGGGAGGCCUAACACAUGCAAGCCGAGCGGUAGAGAUCUUUCGGGAUCUUGAGAGCGGCGUACGGGUGCGGAACACGUGUGCAACCUGCCUUUAUCUGGGGGAUAGCCUUUCGAA
rnacentral:rRNA from 1 species